GUGGGGAAUAUUGGACAAUGGGCGCAAGCCUGAUCCAGCCAUGCCGCGUGAGUGAUGAAGGCCUUAGGGUUGUAAAGCUCUUUCAGUAGGGAAGAUAAUGACGGUACCUACAGAAGAAGCCCCGGCUAACUUCGUGCCAGCAGCCGCGGUAAUACGAAGGGGGCUAGCGUUGUUCGGAUUUACUGGGCGUAAAGCGCACGUAGGCGGUUUGUUAAGUCAGGGGUGAAAUCCCGGAGCUCAACUCCGGAACUGCCUUUGAUACUGGCAAGCUAGAGUCCGGAAGAGGUAAGUGGAACUCCUAGUGUAGAGGUGGAAUUCGUAGAUAUUAGGAAGAACACCAGUGGCGAAGGCGGCUUACUGGUCCGGAACUGACGCUGAGGUGCGAAAGCGUGGGGAGCAAACAGGAUUAGAUACCCGGGUAGUCC
rnacentral:rRNA from 1 species